AUUGAACGCUGGCGGUAUGCUUAACACAUGCAAGUCGAACGGUAACAGGCCUUCGGGCGCUGACGAGUGGCGGACGGGUGAGUAACGCGUAGGAAUCUGCCUCAUAGUGGGGGACAACGUGUGGAAACGCACGCUAAUACCGCAUACGCCCUACGGGGGAAAGCGGGGGACCUUCGGGCCUCGCGCUAUGAGAUGAGCCUGCGUUAGAUUAGCUAGUUGGUAGGGUAAAGGCCUACCAAGGCGACGAUCUAUAGCUGGUCUGAGAGGACGAUCAGCCAAACUGGGACUGAGAAAAGGGCCAGACUCCUACGGGAGGAAGCAGUGGGGAAUAUUGGACAAUGGGCGCAAGCCUGAUCCAGCAAUACCGCGUGUGUGAAGAAGGCCCUAGGGUUGUAAAGCACUUUCAAUAGGGAGGAAAACCUGUCGGUCAAUACCCGGCAGCUUGACAUUACCUAUACAAGAAGCACCGGCUAACUCCGUGCCAGCAGCCGCCGUAAUAC
rnacentral:rRNA from 1 species